rnacentral:lncRNA from 1 species
GCAAACUUCACCGAGUGUGCUGGGAUCAAGUCUCUCACAUAUGAUGACUCAUGGUACAGAAAUGAAUGUCACAUCAUCAAUAUAUAACAGAAUUCUAUACAAAAUAGUAAAAUAAUUACAUCAUAUGAAGACAAUGAUCCAGCAACCAUAGUUGACUGGGAGACAACGGCCGAGACCACUCACGAACUCGUCACAACAUCCUUCAUGCACCUCAUCCUGCGGUACUAGUUCUUGACCUGGGGGAUGUGAGUAUAGCAAGGGUGAGCUCACAAAUGUUCAUCGCUCAACAAGUUGUGGGGAAUAAUGUCCAUGGACUUACCAAAGGUGGUAGAUCAUGUGAAGUGUAAGGCUUACCAAAGGAGAUGGUUAAAGCUAAGCAUUGCUUUUAAAGUUGGUGACAAUUUUAUUAGCAGUUACUAAGUAUAAGUAAAUACCAACCCAAUUAAAUAAGAGAUCACAAUUGAUAAUAACACCUGCAAUGCAAUGCAUAUGACAGGUUAAGUUUAAUUCCAUAAGUUAAUCAUGCGAGAGUCCUAAGUCGCUCUUGAUCAUGAGCACGGCUGAUAUACCAGUUUUACACUCUGUAGAAGUUGCAACGUUUACCCACAAGUCGUGUAUCCUGUCUAACCAGGGUUUGCCAGGCCCUUAGACACUUCCGAGGUGAAUGGCUAGGGAUCCACUACUAGCUUCAGAAAACCCGCUACGGUUUCUGUCGGGGACCAUAAUUAGGGGUACCCUCAAGACGCCUAAUUCUCAGCUGGUAACCCCCAUCAGCAUAAAGCUGCAAAGGCCUGAUGGGUACGAUUAAGUCAGGGAUCAGUCCACACGAGUGACUCGAUCACGCUUCACCCGAGCCUAGCCUCGGCCAAGGGCAGCCGACCUCGAGAGACUUCCGUCUCGCCCGAGGCCCCCUUUUUAUGGCGGACACAUCACCGGCUCGCCCGAGGCCUUGGCUUCGCUCAGAAGCAACCUUGACUAAAUCGCCACACCGACUGACCAAAUUGCAGGGGCAUUUAACGCAAAGGUGGCCUGACACCUUUAUCCUGACACGCGCCCCCGGCAGAGCCGAAGUGACCGCCGUCACUCCACCGCUCCACUGGCCAGUCUGACAGAAGGACAGCGCCGCCUGCGCCACUCCGACUGCAGUGCCACUCGACAGAGUGAGUCUGACAGGCAGUCAGGCCUUGCCAAAGGCGCCACGGCGAACUCCGCCCCGCCCGACCCCAGGGCUCGGACUCGGGCUAAGACCCGGAAGACGGCGAACUCCGCUCCGCCCGACCCCAGGGCUCGGACUCGGGCUAAGACCCGGAAGACGGCGAACUCCGCUCCGCCCGACCCUAGGGCUCGGACUCGGGCUAAGACCCGGAAGACGGCAAACUCCGCUCCGCCCGACCCUAGGGCUCGGACUCGGGCUAAGACCCGGAAGACGGCGAACUCCGCUCCGCCCGACCCCAGGGCUCGGACUCGGGCUAAGACCCGGAAGACGGCGAACUCCACUCCGCCCGACCCCAGGGCUCGGACUCGGGCUAACACCCGGAAGACGACAAAACCCCGCUUCGCCCGACCCCAGGGCUCGGACUCCACCCUGGCCUCGGCCGAACGACUUCCGCCUCGCCCGACCCCUUGGCUCGGGCUCGGCCACGGCAACGGAAGGCAGACUCAACCUCGGCUUCGGAGGAACCCCCACGUCGCCCUGCCUAGGGCACAGACCGCCACGUCAACAGGAAGCGCCAUCAUCAUCCUACCCCGAAUCGACUCGGGUCACGGAGAACAAGACCGGCGUCCCAUCCGGCCAGCUCCGCCGGAGGGGCAAUGAUGGCGCUCCACAAGCUCUAUGACGACGGCGGCCCCCAGCUAUCUUACGGAAGCAGGACGACAUCAGCAGGGACUCGACCGCUCCAACAGCUGUCCCUCCGCCAGGCUCCGCCGCACCUCCGACAGCCACGACAUCACGCCAGCAGGGUGCCCAGAUCUCUCCGGCUGCCACAUUGGCAUGUACCUAGGGCGCUAGCUCUCCCUCCGCUAGACACGUAGCACUCUGCUACACCCCCCAUUGUACACCUGGAUCCUCUCCUUACGACUAUAAAAGGGAGGACCAGGGCCUUCUUAAAAAAGGUUGGCCGCGCGGGACCGAGGACGGGACAGGCGCUCUCUUGGGGCCGCUCGCUUCCCUCACCCGCGUGGACGCUUGUAACCCCCCUACUGCAAGCGCACCUGACCUGGGCGCGGGACGAACACGAAGGCCGCGGGACUUCCACCUCUCUCACACUCGACUCCGGCCACCUCGCCUCUCCCCCCUUCGCGCUCGCCCACGCGCUCGACCCAUCUGGGCUGGGGCACGCAGCACACUCACUCGUCGGCUUAGGGACCCCCCUGUCUCGAAACGCCGACAGUUUCUGAGAAGGGCAAUGUAGGAAUCCCUCGUCCGAAAAGCCAUCGCAGCAUGAUCGACCCAAGAACCUCCCUAUAUGUAGCUCCUCCACCGCCCUUGCCCCUUUUGGGUAAGGUAGCCCUCCACUAGCUUUCCUAAUUAGUCAGCCAAGGGUGUCCCAUUCCACCCUUGUGGUAGCACGGAUAUCUCAAGUUAAGCUCCAUGUUCCAAUUAACACAAUGAUCUUGUCAUGAACAAUAAUUAAACAACAACAUAACUGGAACAUGAUCAUAAUAUAACAUUAAUUUCCCAAAACCAGGUAGAGCAAUAGCAAAACUACCCAAUAGUUCUUUUGUCUGCAAGGUGUGGGAUAAACAAUGCUAGGGAAGCCUAUUAGGUCUCAUUAAAUUAACCUGAGCAUGUCACAGUGAUUAAUAGGAACAUUAUUGGGUAAAGAGAAAAGUGAUCAAGGGCACAACUUGCCUUAGACUUGAGAUCCACAGGUACCAACUUGGUCUUCAAGUGACUCGUAACCUCGCUGCUACUCGUAGCAAUACAUACAAACGAACAAGGAGUACAUAAAAAUAACAUUACACCAAACAUGAGAACAAACUGCAUAAUAAUGUCCUACACGUCGUAACUAGAUCCUAGGUUCGAGAACCACUAAAUUCGGAGUUACGGUCAUAAAGUUAUGAUUUUCCGAAUGUUUAAGUGUCUACUAUAAAGCAAAGGAGGUACAAGAUUUUAAUCAUAUGUUUCAUGGUAUUACAAAGUUACUAGAUGAUAAACAAUAUUAAUGUGAGAUUAAUGAAACUAGAAUGGAUCAAAAAGGAGCUAAAAUAAAGGAGUUAUGAAUUUCCGAGGUUUGCAGACUUAUUUUUUAUACUAAAAAUCCAUUUUUGGAUUUAUUUUACCAAAUUCUAUAAGUCUUGGACUGAGGGUGCCAUUCUUUAAGAGAUCAAGGGCCAAACUGCAAGUUUUAGGGGCAUAUAUUAAAUUUUCUACAAUUGCAUCAUGACAGCGGGUUGAGUUGAAAGAAACCUAAGGGCUCAUGCGCAAAACAGGCUGGCCGAAGGGGUACAAGCGAAUAUGGACGGCCUGAUCACCCGCUAGCGGCCAGGAUUAAAUCACUAAACCGGCAUAUAAUGAUAGCCGCAAGAUCUAUCACUGACGCAUCAGAUUUUAUAACGCCCAGAUCGAUUUUCGAGCGCCCGAUCUAGAUCAAACGGCCCGCGUCAGAUCUAGCCGAAGCGUUAUACGUGAAUCUAAUCCGGGGCGUCCUUUCCGCAAUCAACGAUUACAAACUUUCCUCCCCAACCUUCUAAUCUCUAUCGUUCAUCUAGAUCCUACGAUCUCCACACCAUCUUCAUCCACCAGCUGACCAAGCGGCGGCGGGCAACCCCACGGCGGAGGCCAUGGCCGACAAUGCCCGUUCCGUGCAACAUCACCCCAUCCAUUAAUCCUAUCCGCGAUCAAUGUUCCCUAGGUGAUGGUGAAUAUAUGUAAUAACCUCUUACCCGCGAUUGAACAAGGUAGAGGUCUAGCGACGCCACCCGACGGCUCCGCGGUGGUGGGGAAAGAUGACGAGAAAUUGGAAUGACUAAGAGGCUCCCUCCUACCUGCAGAUGCCUCGGGUACCACCUAGGGGACCCCGUGAAUCCUCCCGACCAAGAGACCGACCGCAACAAUGGUCGUGUAACAUGGGCGGUGGCUCGCAUAU